UUCUAGUUCCCGCCGUUAAGCUACAGUAUUUUGGUAUAUGACCCCCUGUAAACGAGGGGAAGAGGCAAACGAGCUUUCUUUCCUAUCACUAGGCUUGGCGCCCCAAUUAUGUGAGACUUGUGAACUGUUAAACUGGCACAAACCCUUUAGUAUACAGGCUCAAGCUAUUCCUGUAGCGUUACAAGGAAAAGAUAUUAUUGGUCUCGCCGAGACAGGUUCUGGAAAAACCGGCUCAUUUGCUUUACCUGUUUUACAUUUCUUACUUGAAAAGCCACAAGUGUGUUUUUGCUUGGUUCUUACGCCUACUAGGGAGCUUGCUUUUCAAAUUGCUGAGCAAUUCAAUGCUUUGGGAUCCUCGAUUGGAGUGAAGACUGCAGUCAUUGUUGGCGGGGUUAACAUGGUCGAGCAAGCCAUUACUCUUGCGAAAGGGCCGCACGUCGUGGUGGCAACUCCCGGCAGACUCGUCGAUCAUCUCGAAAACACAAAAGGAUUUACCUUAAAAAAGCUGAAAUUUUUGGUGCUGGACGAAGCUGAUCGCAUGCUCACGUUGGAUUUCGGUGAGGAUCUGAACAAAAUUAUUUCUGUCAUUCCCAAAGAAAGAAGAACCUUUUUAUAUUCUGCUACUAUGACGGAAAAAGUAGCCAAGUUGCAGAAAGCGUCUUUGAAGAAUCCUGUAAAGAUACAAGUUUCCACGAAGUACCAAACAGUGGCUAAACUUAUACAGAAUUACAUGUUCAUGCCAGCCAAGCGAAAAGAUGUUUACCUCACGUGGCUUAUUAACGAAAGUUCGGGGAAUUCGAUUAUGGUGUUCGUGUCUACAUGUGCAACUGCUCAGCGGCUAGCGCUUAUGCUAAACAAUCUCGGCCUUCCUGCUAUCCCUCUUCACGGGAAUUUAAGUCAACCGAAACGUUUGGGAGCCUUAAAUAAAUUUAAAAGUUCUGGAUCUUCAGUGCUGAUUGCCACUGACGUCGCCAGCAGGUUCUUUUUACACCUUUAUUGUUCUGUUUUAGAAGAAGGUACCAUCUUAUUUAAGGGGUUUGGAUAUUCCGGAUGUUGAUUUGGUCAUUAAUUAUGACGUUCCGCUGCACUCGAAGGACUACAUUCACCGUGUGGGAAGGACAGCACGUGCGGGAAAAGCUGGACGGGCAGUAACCUUUGUCAGUCAGUACGAUGUUGAGUGUUUCCAGAGGAUCGAACUGCUGAUCAAUAGAAAA